rnacentral:tRNA from 1 species
GGAAGCGUGUCCGAGUGGUUUAUGGGGCUCGAUUGGAAAUCGAGUAGAGUCGCAAGGCUCUCGGAGGUUCGAAUCCUCUCGCUUCCGCCA